AAUGAACGCUGGCGGCAGGCCUAACACAUGCAAGUCGAACGAAGCCUUCGGGCUUAGUGGCGGACGGGUGAGUAACGCGUGGGAACAUACCCAAAGGUACGGAAUAGCCUCGGGAAACUGGGAGUAAUACCGUAUGUGCCCUUAUGCUGUAGUGGUGUAAGGGGAAAGAUUUAUCGCCUUUGGAUUGGCCCGCGUUGGAUUAGGUAGUUGGUGGGGUAAUGGCCUACCAAGCCGACGAUCCAUAGCUGGUUUGAGAGGAUGAUCAGCCACACUGGGACUGAGACACGGCCCAGACUCCUACGGGAGGCAGCAGUGGGGAAUCUUAGACAAUGGGCGCAAGCCUGAUCUAGCCAUGCCGCGUGAUCGAUGAAGGCCUUAGGGUUGUAA
rnacentral:rRNA from 1 species